AAGUUUGGACAAUGGGGGAAACCCUGAUCCAGCCAUCCCGCGUGUAUGAUGAAGGCCUUCGGGUUGUGAAGUACUUUUGGCAGAGAAGAAAAGGUAUCUUCUACUACGAGAUACUGCUGACGGUAGCUGCUGAAUAAGCACCGGCUAACUACGUGCCAGCAGCCGCGGUAAUGCGUAGGGUGCAAGCGUUAAUCGGAAUUACUGGGCGUAAAGCAUGUGUAGGCGGUUCGGAAAGAAAGAUGUGAAAUCCCAGGGCUCAACCUUGGAACUGCAUUUUUAACUGCCGAGCUAGAGUAUGUCAGAGGGGGGUAGAAUACCACGUGUAGCAGUGAAAUGCGUAGAUAUGUGGAGGAAUACCAAUGGCGAAGGCAGCCCCCUGGGAUAAUACUGACGCUCAGACACGAAAGCGUGGGGAGCAAACA
rnacentral:rRNA from 1 species